rnacentral:rRNA from 1 species
GAUGAACGCUGGCGGCGUGCCUAAUACAUGCAAGUCGAGCGAACAGACGAGGAGCUUUCUCCUCUGACGUUAACGGCGGACGGGUUAGUAACAAGUGGAUAACCUACCGAUAAAACUGGGAUAACUUCGUGAAACCGGAGCGAAUACCGUAUAAUAUAUUGAACGGGAUGGUUCAAUAGUAAAAUACGGUUUUCGUGUUACUUAUAGAUGAAUCCGCGCCGCAUUAGCUAGUUGGUAAGGUAACGGCUUACCAAGGCAACGAUGCGUAGCCGACCUGAGAGGGUGAUCGGCCACACUGGAACUGAGACACGGUCCAGACUCCUACGGGAGGCAGCAGUAGGGAAUCUUCCGCAAUGGGCGCAAGCCUGACGGAGCAACGCCGCGUGAGUGAUGAAGGUCUUCGGAUCGUAAAACUCUGUUAUUAGGGAAGAACAAAUGUGUAAGUAACUAUGCACGUAUUGACGGUACCUAAUCAGAAAGCAACGGCUAACUACGUG